AUUGGGCGUAAGCGCGCGCAGGUGGUUUCUUAAGUCUGAUGUGAAAGCCCACGGCCCAACCGUGGAGGGUCAUUGGAAACUGGGAGACUUGAGUGCCCCAGAGGAAAGUGGAAUUCCAUGUGUAGCGGUGAAAUGCGUAUAGAUAUGGAGGAACACCAGUGGCGAAAGCGACUUUCUGGUCUGUAACUGACACUGAGGCGCGAAAGCGUGGGGAGCGAACAGGAUU
rnacentral:rRNA from 1 species